rnacentral:rRNA from 1 species
GUGGGGAAUCUUCCGCAAUGGACGAAAGUCUGACGGAGCAACGCCGCGUGAGUGAUGAAGGUCUUCGGAUUGUAAAGCUCUGUUAAUCGGGACGAAAGAGCCUAGUGUGAAUAAUGCUAGGAAGUGACGGUACCGGAAUAGAAAGCCACGGCUAACUACGUGCCAGCAGCCGCGGUAAUACGUAGGUGGCAAGCGUUGUCCGGAAUUAUUGGGCGUAAAGCGCGCGCAGGCGGAUCUGCCAGUCUGUCUUAAAAGUUCGGGGCUUAACCCCGUGAUGGGAUGGAAACUACAGAUCUAGAGUAUCGGAGAGGAAAGUGGAAUUCCUAGUGUAGCGGUGAAAUGCGUAGAGAUUAGGAGGAACACCAGUGGCGAAGGCGACUUUCUGGACUGUAACUGACACUGAGGCUCGAAAGCCAGGGGAGCGAACGGGAUUAGAUACCCUUGUAGUCC